ensembl:lncRNA
CAUUGGAAGAGGGAGGUCAGUGAAAGCCUAAAGAGAAUGAGAAGACCACGGAUGGGGUACCUCAGCCUGCCCUCCCAAACAAGGCUACUUCUUCACAGGGCCUAGAAGAGUGCCUGGCAUAUGAUGGAAGUGAGAUGCAUGUUUGGUGGAUGUAAUGCUGGUGAAGAGAAGAUAAGAGCAUGAGUCAGAAGGAACUGGGGCUUAGCAACUUGGGCCUGUUCUUAAGAGCUACAACUAAGAGAAAGGCAUCUGUACCCGGGAGAAUUCAACACCCAUUGCAGGUUUUAAAAAGAAAACUGAGAUCAUCAAGAUAAAUCCUCCCUCAUUAGUGCAGAGAGUGCUAGUAAAGCAGCAAGGGCUCAGGGUCAGAACAAAAGCAGCCGCUCUUCACCACCACAGGAAUGGACUUCAUGACCAGGGCUCCAAGGAUGAAUGCCAGUACAUCAAAGAAUGCCACAUUCUUCAGUGAUUCCCCAUCCAGGGAGCAGAUCACAUCAACCUUUCUGCCAGUGACCAGCGACAACUGGAAAGCCUCCUUAUUCUGCUGACAGUGUCACAACACCUAUGAGCCACAGAUUCCAUCCAUUGCCAGCUUUAUACCAGAGAUCAACUUGCCAAGGAGCAGAAGUGGGGAGAAGAAAUAUGGAAGUUGAAAGGAAGCUGAGUGUUUACCCUGAUCGUAAUAUUGGACUAAGUUUACCAAACUGAACUAAAAUUUCAUUCCCACCUUGGAAUCCAGUGGUGGAAACUUGGGAGGAACAUUAUUUUAAUUAAUACACAAAAAAUUAAGAAGCUACAUGUUCUUUUCCUCUUUCAAUAUAAUAUGGAUGAACUCUGCAAACCUGAUAGGAAUUUUUGUGG